GUCUCCAGCCAUACCACCCUGAAUGCACCCAAUCUUGCUGAUCUCGGAAGUUAAUCAGUAUUGGGUCUGAUUAGUCGUUGGGUGGGAGAAA
rnacentral:rRNA from 1 species